rnacentral:rRNA from 1 species
UAUGAACGCUGGCGGCGUGCCUAAUACAUGCAAGUCGAGCGAACGGACGAGAAGCUUGCUUUUCUGAUGUUAGCGGCGGACGGGUGAGUAACACGUGGAUAACCUACCUAUAAGACUGGGAUAACUUCGGGAAACCGGAGCUAAUACCGGAUAAUAUUUUGAACCGCAUGGUUCAAAAGUGAAAGACGGUCUUGCUGUCACUUAUAGAUGGAUCCGCGCUGCAUUAGCUAGUUGGUAAGGUAACGGCUUACCAAGGCAACGAUGCAUAGCCGACCUGAGAGGGUGAUCGGCCACACUGGAACUGAGACACGGUCCAGACUCCUACGGGAGGCAGCAGUAGGGAAUCUUCCGCAAUGGGCGAAAGCCUGACGGAGCAACGCCGCGUGAGUGAUGAAGGUCUUCGGAUCGUAAAACUCUGUUAUUAGUGAAGAACAUAUGUGUAAGUAACUGUGCACAUCUUGACGGUACCUAAUCAGAAAGCCACGGCUAACUACGUG